UGCUCCACUUUGGGACAUAAGUCAGAAAGAGAUUGACAAUGCCAACUCACACAUAUCCUUAAUUACCAACUAACACACCUAAAACAUUUAUCUUUGGUUCUUCUCUUUACCUUUGAUUCUUUCCCUUUUUGCCUAUUCUUUUGUGGAGAUUAGGAACCUUGAUUGGUUGGCAAUAUAGGGAUCAAAACUUUAUCCUACUCUUUAGGGGUUUUAUUCUAAUUUAUUUUAAAUUCAAAGAAAAACACAUGAGGUAGUCAAAUCAUGAAAUGUAAGCAUAUGCUUUUAGUCCACAUAAGAAACUGCCACACAAUGAGGAGAUAUGUAGUUAGUGAACAUUUUUAUACCUUUUGAUAAGUGUAUUGUUGAAGGGGUCGGAUUGUCUAUACGAAAAUGUGCACGUGUGAUCUUGUAAGGCGUAUGUGUAGGUUUUAGGCAGUGGCGGAUCCAGCGGGGGUUCAGGGGAGUUCAACUGAACCCCGUUAGAUCCGGGAAAAAAAAUAGGAAUGUUAUUUAAAAAACAGAAAACCUAUAAAUAAAAUAUUUGUAGCAAACAUAUACUAUGUUAGGUGUGAGCUCAGUUGGUUAAGUAUCUCUCAAAUUGGUCAGCAAAUCUCGGGUUCGACUCUCCUAGGGCGCAAUUGUAUAUAUUUUUUUUUCUUUUUCUUUUUUCUCAUUUCUUUUCCCUGUAACUUCCGAGCUAAAACCCUAACUUUCUUUCUCUAUCUUUUGAUUCUUUUCUCACUUUUCUGGCCGCCACACCCAGUCACACCACUGCAGUCUACUCACGGACGAGGCCACGAGGGCGACGCCGACGAUCUGCUGCUAGCCUGCGUCGAACUCCAGUGUACUAGUGUGUGACCAUGAAAAGUUUGGAGCAUUUUUGGGACAAAUCUCAAAAUCAUCAAACUUUUCCUCUCCAAACUUGCUCUAAACCUAUUAGUGAAGACAUAGAGGAUGAAGAUUACAUCGAGUCAUUUUUUACAUCUAUUUUAUGAGUUGUAUUUUGAUAUUUAAUUGAAGUUAUGUAUUGUUGUAUCGGAUUAUUAAAUUUUACAAUUUUAUUCAAAUUUGGACUUAUUUUGUUGUUUACUUGUGUAUUGGUAUUUAUCAAAACACUCUAUUUUAUACUUGAA